AUGCUCACUUCAGUAGCACAUAUACUAAAAAUGGAACAACAGAGAAGAUUAACAUGGCCUCUGAGCAAAGAUGAGAUGCAAAUUCUUAAAGUGUGCCAUAAAAAA